rnacentral:rRNA from 1 species
AGAGCGAACGCUGGCGGCAGGCCUAACACAUGCAAGUCGAGCGGUGAUCCUCCUUCGGGAGGUGAUCAGCGGCGAACGGGUGAGUAACACGUGGGCAACCUGCCCCUCACACUGGGAUAACCUCGGGAAACCGGGGCUAAUACCGGAUACGACCUCGAGCGGCAUCUCUUGAGGUGGAAAGCUCCGACGGUGAGGGAUGGGCCCGCGGCCUAUCAGCUUGUUGGUGGGGUAAUGGCCUACCAAGGCGACGACGGGUA